AAUGAACGCUGGCGGCGUGCCUAACACAUGCAAGUCGGAUGUGCCGCAAGGUGCAUGGCAGACAGGUGAGUAACGCGUGUGGAACCUACCUCUUUGUGGGGAAUAACGUUCCGAAAGGAAUGGUAAUACCGCAUGAGACCACAGGCUGGGAUGCUUGUGGUGAAACCCGGGGACCGAAAGGCCUGGGGCAAGGAGAGGGUCCUGCGUCUGAUUAGCUAGUUGGCGGGGUAACGGCCCACCAAGGCGUCGAUCAGUAGCCGGCCUGAGAGGGUGAUCGGCCACACUGGAACUGAGACACGGUCCAGACUCCUACGGGAGGCAGCAGUGGGGAAUUUUGCGCAAUGGGCGAAAGCCUGACGCAGCAACGCCGCGUGGGUGAUGAAGGUCUUCGGAUCGUAAAACCCUGUCGUCAGGGACGAAGGUUGCAUAUCUAAUAGAUGUGCAGCUUGACGGUACCUGGAGAGGAAGCCCCGGCUAACUCUGUGCCAGCCGCCGCGGUAAUAC
rnacentral:rRNA from 1 species